GUGACAGCUCAGACAUGGGGCAGCCCCCUCAGCUGCCGAAAUGCCAGCCAAUCUCCCAGCAGACUCAGAGCCCACUAUUAUAAACGAAUGCGAUGCAUUAUUUCCCCCCCCACCACCACUUCUCCUUCGGCUGGCACGCGCUCUUAAAUAGAGACUAAGAUCCUUCCCCAUUAAUGACAAAUGUUCAACAAAAGCCAGCGGGGUUAAGAGCGGAAUAAAAAAAAUCACAGCAGCUGUAGUACCGAAGUCCUGGGAGCACUUGGAGAAGCUGGCGGGCAACAAGCAUAACGUCAGCCCCUUUGUUUGGCGUCUCUUUGGUGGAGCCUGCCUUUUGCCCGUGACCAUAAGUGGU